rnacentral:misc_RNA from 1 species
AACACCCAAGAGUAAGAUUUUACAUAUUUCAUUACCAGAGUUUGUAUUCCCGUAUACCUGUACAGAGUAUGUACAGCCAAUUUGUUAUGUACAAUGCAUCUUAUCUGCACUGUACAUUACUUAAAGGAGGUUCGAACUCAUGGAAUAAGUUCAUGUCUACAAUACAAAAUGAACUAAAUAAAAAACCGAUUUAUACAAUUGAUGAGAAACAGAUAGAGUUCGAAACAAUCACUCCCGAAUGCUGGCCUGAGUGUGCCGAUGGGAGUUUGAAAAUAAUUCAAGUUCGGCAUCCAUUAGAGAGAUUAGUAUCUGCUUACAGAUACGUGUUUGAACGAGAUGAUACAUACAGUAAGAAUUCAGAGUUCAGACUCAGCAUUCAAGAAAUCACAGGGAAACAGUUUAGAAAGAUCAGUUGGCCCGAGUUUGUGGAGAAAAUAGUUCUUAAUAACAAAAUGAAGAUGCCCGACAAUGGUCCUAGUUCUGGGAAUUGGAUCAGAAAUCACUGGGCUCCAUACUGGUAUACGUGCGGACUAUGUAGAAGAGAAUUUAGACCUAAGGAAAACAAACAAAUCCAGAAAAAAAGAAAAAACCUGAGAUCAAACCUUCUGCGCUUAACUUAAAUCCUUGAUCACGAUAUCCACUUUAACAACUGUAAAAAAUGGUGAAUUCCUUAAUUUUGGUUAUCCCUGACCUCUUAAUAAAUAUUUUGUUAACAUAGCAAUGGUUCUGAUAUUUGUUUGAUAAUUAAGUUUAUCCUACAUCUGGAAACUAUAAAGACAGACGUUAAAGCUUUACUCCAACUGCUGGGGCUCCAGGAGAAGGAGGUUAGCUUUCCAGCAGUUCUAGAAUCAGACCAAGGACAUUCAUCUCUUCAUGUUCAAAGGAAAGAUAUUUCAUUAAAUUCAGCCACUUUUCAAUUAAAAAAGUUCGUCUCAAUGAC